rnacentral:lncRNA from 1 species
GCUGCGACGGAGGAGGCGGAGGCGGUGGCGGGGCGUCCCCUGCGGCGCCGCGGGCCAUGAAGCGCGAGCUCGCCUUCGCCCUGCAGUCUCUCUCAGAGAUCACAGCCUCCCCCGGCCGCACCCGCUCCGGCCGCUCCCUCACCUCCCCGCCGUCCCCUCAUCGCCCGCCGCCAAGCGGAGGAUGAACGCCAGAUCCGACCCCCCGCCCCCGGAUCUGGUCUCCCCCCCCCCCCCC